rnacentral:lncRNA from 1 species
AUGAGCUCCUGGAGCCAUUUGCUUUGAAAUGUGCACAUUUCACAGGCGGCUGCCUGCCAAUGAGACAACUCUAAGCAGGACCAAGAAAAAGGAAAAGAGAGAGAUGCCGGAGAUUUCCCUGACAUACGCAAAAGAAAGGAAACCGGAAAGGCCCAGAGUGCUGAUGGAGUAAGUGAAGGCAGAGCCUUGAGGAAAUUUUUUUCUCGGCUCUUCAUCAUGAAGACCUCGGGAGAUUUCUGGAGGUAAAACCUGUGGAAAUAUGGAGGCACCUCUAAGACUGUUGUCCCCAGGAGUUUCUCAUUCUCACACUAGAUGACACUCAGCCUCCAUCAGCUCACCAAAAUUACCAUUUAGUUGCUUCUAUCAGUUGUGGCUGCACAGGUUUGUGCUCCAGCAGGUGCCUGGAACCUGCUAUUUUGAGGACCUCAAGAAGAGAGGAAUCUACCAAAAUCUGUAGAACUAAAACUGACCUUUUUCCUGAAUCCCUCCAAACUGAAGCUGGACAACUUGAUAUAAACUUAAGAGAGAUUCAUGUCUGUUGCUGUGUAAGCCACUCAGGAAGAUACCUGAACACCCAGUGACCUCAGAGACAUUUCAAACUGCCAAAGAUGCUUUGACUCUGACAUCUAGAGAUCUUUUUGGCUGGCUGCCCCCUUGGCUCAGAAAGUGGAAUGUGAUGAUCCCAGACAGAGAGUCUAUGCUGAUAACCAUCAUUGAAUGACAACUGAAAGAUCUGGUGUGGUGACUCCUAGUCUGUAACACGAGAAAGUCAACAUUCCUGACUCCCUCCCCUAAAACCCACUGGCCUAUAUAACUGCUUCAAGAUUCUUGUGCCCUCCUUAAGAUGGUUCUUUAGGACACUAUUCCUCCCAUCUUCCAAUUUGCUAGCAUAUUGCUUAAUAAAAUGCCCUUUUUCUGCCACGAUCUUGCCUCUUGACAAUUGGCUUUUGUCUUGUGGCAAGUAGAUUGUGCCAUUUGUGCAGUAAUGUACACACAAUAUUUCUAAGUGUUGGUAUGAAAAAAGAAUG